rnacentral:antisense_RNA from 1 species
AACACAAGGAUUAUAUUGCAUCGUAUUGUUCAUAUUA